AACGAACGCUGGCGGCAUGCCUAACACAUGCAAGUCGAACGAGACCUUCGGGUCUAGUGGCGCACGGGUGCGUAACGCGUGGGAACCUGCCCUUAGGUUCGGAAUAACUCCCCGAAAGGGGUGCUAAUACCGGAUAAUGUCUUCGGACCAAAGAUUUAUCGCCUUUGGAUGGGCCCGCGUUGGAUUAGCUAGUUGGUAGGGUAAAAGCCUACCAAGGCGACGAUCCAUAGCUGGUCUGAGAGGAUGAUCAGCCACACUGGGACUGAGACACGGCCCAGACUCCUACGGGAGGCAGCAGUGGGGAAUAUGGAACAAUGGGCGAAGGCCUAAUCCAGCAAUGCCGCGUAAGUGAUGAAGGCCUUAGGGUUGUAAAGCUCUUUUACCCGGGAUGAUAAUGACGGUACCGGAAGAAUAAGCUCCGGCUAACUCCGU
rnacentral:rRNA from 1 species